AGUGGCGGACGGGUGAGUAACGCGUGGAUGACCUGCCCCGCACCGGGGGACAACAGCCGGAAACGGCCGCUGAUACCCCAUGCGCCCCCGCCGCCGCAUGGCGGCGGGGGGAAAGCCCCGGCGGUGCGGGAUGGAUCCGCGUCCGAUUAGCUUGUUGGCGGGGCAGCGGCCCACCAAGGCCGCGAUCGGUAGCCGGCCUGAGAGGGCGGCCGGCCACAUUGGGACUGAGACACGGCCCAGACUCCUGCGGGAGGCAGCAGUGGGGGAUAUUGCACAAUGGGCGCAAGCCUGAUGCAGCGACGCCGCGUGGGCGAAGGGGCGCCUCGGCGCGUGAAGCCCUAUCGGCAGGGAAGAAGAUGGACGGUACCUGACUAAGAAGCCCCGGCUAACUACGUGCCAGCAGCCGCGGUAAUACGUAGGGGGCGAGCGUUAUCCGGAUUCAUUGGGCGUAAAGCGCGCGUAGGCGGCUGCCUAAGCGGAACCUCUAACCCCGGGGCUCAACCUCGGGCCGGGUUCCGAACUGGGCGGCUCGAGUGCGGUAGGGGAAGGCGGAAUUCCCGGUGUAGCGGUGGAACGCGCAGAUAUCGGGAAGAACACCGAUGGCGAAGGCAGCCUCUGGGCCGACACUGACGCUGAGGCGCGAAAGCUGGGGGAGCGAACAGGAUUAGAUACCCUGGUAGUCCCAGCCGUAAACGAUGGACGCUAGGUGUGGGGGGAUCGUCCCUCCGCGCCGCAGCCAACGCAUUAAGCGUCCCGCCUGGGGAGUACGGCCGCAAGGCUAAAACUCAAAGGAAUUGACGGGGGCCCGCACAAGCAGCGGAGCAUGUGGCUUAAUUCGAAGCAACGCGAAGAACCUUACCAGGGCUUGACAUGCGAGUGAGUCCGGGGAGACCCGGAGGCCGAGAGGAGCUCGCGCAGGUGGUGCAUGGCUGUCGUCAGCUCGUGUCGUGAGAUGUUGGGUUAAGUCCCGCAACGAGCGCAACCCCCGUCCCGCGUUGCCAGCAUUCAGUUGGGGACUCGCGGGAGACUGCCGGCGUCAAGCCGGAGGAAGGUGGGGACGACGUCAAGUCAUCAUGCCCCUUAUGCCCUGGGCUACACACGUGCUACAAUGGCAUAUACAAAGAGAAGCGACCUCGCGAGAGCAAGCGGACCUCAUAAAGUAUGUCGUAGUCCGGAUUGGAGUCUGCAACUCGACUCCAUGAAGUCGGAAUCGCUAGUAAUCGUAGAUCAGAAUGCUACGGUGAAUACGUUCCCGGGCCUUGCACACACCGCCCGUCA
rnacentral:rRNA from 1 species